GACUGGAGCUGUUCAACACCAACCUGGGAGAUUCUGGACUGAAGGAGCUCUGUGGUUUUCUGCAGACUGAAGGCUGCAGACUGGAGACAUUGGAGUUGUUUUACUCCAGUUUGUCAAAGAUCAGCUGUGAUUUUCUGGCCUCAGCUCUGAAGUCCAACAGCCUCCGUCUGACAGAACUGGACCUGAGAGAAAACAACCUGAAGGAUUCAGAUGUUCAGCAGCUGAAGGAUCUUGUAAAGACUGUAGAGUGGAGGAACUGAUGAUCUCUGUAAAGUAGAGAACGGUCUCUGUGUCCUGCUGAUCCUCAGAGGUUGAAGCUGCAGCAGUU